rnacentral:lncRNA from 1 species
CCCGGGCUGGGCAGCACCGGCAAAGGCCGGGAACAGGGCCAUGUCUCAGCUUACCGCCACUACUAUCAGCCCGAACUGCCCCGUGGAGCGGCGGGGCAAGAUGGCGCCGCAGCGCCGAGCAUACUGGGAUAUGUAGUUCGUCCGCCCGACCCCCCAAAAUGGCGGCGAGGCCCGGUGGCUGUUGAGGGAAGAAAGGCUCUGUGCUGGGGCUGCCGCGGGCGUCCAGCCUUCACCAGUGAAAGUCCUUUUAUACAAACUGCAAUUAUUCUGCUGAAGUGCUGUUGCUUUCGACCUGAAGAGCAGCAAUAUGCUGCACAACCUUGAGAAGAGGAGAAUGCAUAGGCAAGUACACUUGUGAUGUUUUCUGCACACAAGGAUUCUCACCCUCUCAAGGAAAACCAUAGUUAGAGCUAUCGUGCCACUCCUAGAAGUGAAUUCUAAAGCCUGAUGAUCAUCUGUCUCCCCACACCCCAUACAUUUUCCUUCCCCACAAGUGGGGUGGAGCAAGAGAAGGCAGCAGCAAGGACAAGCAGCGAUUUAUUUCUCUGCAAUUUCUGGCCCUGUGUCACCAUGGCUGUGGGGCAGAGAGCCCCCUGCGGCCACCUUUUUUGUAGCCUUUUCUUCACUCAGCAUUUCUGA